rnacentral:rRNA from 1 species
GACGAACGCUGGCGGCGUGCUUAACACAUGCAAGUCGAGCGGCAAGGCCCUUUCGGGGGUACACGAGCGGCGAACGGGUGAGUAACACGUGGGUGACCUGCCCUCAGCUCUGGGAUAAGCCUGGGAAACUGGGUCUAAUACUGGAUAUGACUCCACGGUGCAUGUCGUGGGGUGAAAGCCUUGUGCGGCUGAGGAUGGGCCCGCGGCCUAUCAGCUUGUUGGUGGGGUGAUGGCCUACCAAGGCGACGACGGGUAGCCGGCCUGAGAGGCGACCGGCCACACUGGGACUGAGACACGGCCCAGACUCCUACGGGAGGCAGCAGUGGGGAAUCUUGCGCAAUGGGCGAAAGCCUGACGCAGCGACGCCGCGUGAGGGAUGACGGCCU